GAGUUGGUGGGGCCUUGAAGAAUCUUGCGGACAGAAUUGUUUCUUAUGGGACCAGUAUUCCUGAUGCAGACUCUCUGUAUGAGCAGCUGAAGAACAAUUCAUCAGUGACUCUGUACAAAGUAUCAGAGGAGAAAAUAAAGGCCAGCCGCGAAUUGGUUCCCCCCCAACCUGAAAGCAGUUCCUGGGACACUGAAAAUACACCAACUGACAUCCACAAAACCAGGAGUCAUAAAUACACGGGAGGUGUCAUGCUUUUGUGGAAAAAAAUGGCCAGUGCUUUUCUACAAAUUGCCACAUGUUCUCUGAGGGAAGAGAUGAGGACCCUGACCGAACAGAGGCCACCAUAGAGGUUGGACAGUGGGUCCUGGUUGAAUACGAUGGUGACUUGUUCCCUGGUACAGUCACACAGAUUGCUGAAGGGCAGUAUGAAGUCGACACCAUGAAUUGUGCAGGGGAGAACCGCUUCUAUGUACCAAGCAUCAGAUUUCCAGGAGAAAGGGUCUGGUACUAUCGUCAGGACAUACGGGACAUAAUCCCAGAACCACUUCCUGUCACCUCCUCUGCUAGACAUUUCUGCAUUUUACCUGACAUAUGGGCAAAACACAAGAAAUGCUCAUGAAUGAGUUACAGUUGAGGGAAAAUGUGAUUGGUACAGAGCAGUCAUUCCAGUUGUUUGCUCUAGUUGUUUGACCAACUCAAAUCGAGUUGCUGCUAUUCAAGUUCUUCACAUUAAAUUAUUCUCAGAAAAAGUUUGUGUGGUUCAAUGUCAGGACCAAAUUGUUUUAGCUAAACUAAAUUCUUUUUACAAGAGCACAUGAUGCUGUUACAUUUAAAUGUUUCUCAGGACCACAUGAUGAUAUGUUACAUUGAAAAAGUUCUCAUCACAUGGUUGUAUGUUUAACUAGAAUGAUAAAAUGUAUAC